rnacentral:rRNA from 1 species
UACGAAGGGGGCUAGCGUUGCUCGGAAUCACUGGGCGUAAAGCGCACGUAGGCGGGCUCUUAAGUCGGUGGUGAAAUCCUGGAGCUCAACUCCAGAACUGCCUCCGAUACUGAGAGUCUUCGAGUCCGGGAGAGGUGAGUGGAACUGCCGAGUGUAGAGGUGAAAUUCGUAGAUAUUCGCAAGAACACCAGUGGCGAAGGCGGCUCACUGGCUCGGUACUGACGCUGAGGUGCGAAAGCGUGGGGAGCAAACAGG